ACCUGUGAAAGCGGUCCUCAAGGAUCGAGGCCGGUUCUGGACCGCACAGCACUGGGACGGAACCAGCGACAGACACGCGUGUUCGGGGCUAAUGAGCGGUAACACGCGUGCAGGCUGACCUCACACGUCAGGAAACCAGGAGAUCUCCGCCUCCAUCAUCAGUUCUGUUACUUCAUCAGAACAGAAUCCACUGAGAUCAAAGCAUCUGAUCAGAUCAGAUCCAGUCAUCCUGAAGGAUCCAGACGGCUUCACUGACACUUUAGAUCAGGGGUCCCCGACCGGCGGUCCGGACCCCGAGACCCUUUUAUCCGGACCUCCAAGCAUUCAUUUUUACAAAGUGAUUUUUGAACAGGCGCGCGAGGACAGCUACGUUUGGACCGGGGUCCUUCAACCAGGCAUAAAAAGAUGAAUGAAGGAAAAGAGUUCUGCAUGUGACUUGGUGACUUGGUGACUGCUGUUCGGUCUGUUCAGAAGAAACUGGACAUCCUGAAGAUGGAUCUGGAGAACUGUGACCAUGUUUUCUAGAGCAGCUCUGGAUCUUUGUUCAAAUCUCUUGUUAUUGUGAUUCCAAACAGACGAGUGCGACCUGAUGACCUGUUCAGAGAACAAACAGAACUUUUCUUCUUCCAUCAAAGAAGAACAGUAACAAUGUUUGGUUCCACCUCCAGUUGUGCAUCAGUCUUCUCGUGCACAUGCUCACCAGUGUGCACGUACACCUCAGAAUGACUUUCCUUCUCAGAUUUAAGAUUUUAGCUCCUGUGUUCAUGUUAACAUUUCUCACUGAGAUACGUUUAUUUUACAGUUUAUCUUUAUAUCUUUAAAGUUUUCUGCUCUUAUCAAAGUUAUAACUUGAAUGAUCAAUAAGUCGUAUUAUCUAACCGACUGUUAGGGGUCGUAAAACAGAAAGUUAACAUUUCUGAAUCCUGAUUAUGAAGCUUUUUGAGCUGCAUUCAUGUUAGCUGUUGGACUUUAAGUAAAAUAGAGUUUAUGAAAAACACAUGCAGGAAGUUUCUGUGUAAUAUUCUUUUAAAUUUAGUUGUGUAUAUUUGAGUAUUUUUGUACAAAAAUGAAUUAUACAAAUACUUUUUGAGUCAAGGUAAAAAGUCUUUACCAAUUUAACUAGUGAAUUAUUGUCUGAAUGUAUUUGCGGUCUAUCGAGCUGACACGGUUACCAGACCUCUUGCCAAAUUAGUUAGAGACCCCUGAUCUAGAGUCAUGAAGACCAUUCACCUCAGCAGGUCCAGCUGGACCAACAGAACCUCCAACAGAACCAACAGAGUUCUAUGAAACUGCACCGCUUCACCAAACAAACUGAGCCAGCUCUCUGACGGCGGAUUCAGAUCCGAUUCUCUCAGUCUUCCACCUUCAACAAACUUUGAGAUGAACCAUGCAGACGAGAUAGCUCAGGCGGUCUGAUGUGGAGCGGUCAACCAGCAUCCAGCAUUUGAUCUGACAGAAGAAAUUGAACGUCUUCUGGAGAACAGCAGCAGAAACCAGAAAAACCCACAAGUCCAGAACUGAAUCCGAUGGUACGACGGUACCUCCAACAACUCCAGUCCAGCACAGACAGUCCUGAGGUCUGGACGGGUUUCUCCUUCAAGAGAGGAUGAGUUCAAAUCAGACCCUGAACAGCAGAGGCCAACCGGAGGAAACACGGCGGAGGAAUCACGCCGAAGUACCACGCUAGAGGAACCGCGGCGGAGGAACCGCGGCGGAGGAACCACGGCAGAAGAACCACGCCGGAGGAAUCACGCCGAAGAACCACGCUAGAGGAACCGCGGCGGAGAAACCGCGGCGGAGGAACCGCGGCGGAGGAACCGCGGCGGAGGAACCGCGCCGGAGGAACCUCGCCGGAGGAACCACGGCAGAAGAACCACGGCGGAGGAACCACUCUGUGAGGAGACAUCAGGAGGUGCUGCUGAGAAUCCUGAUGAUGACAUGAAGAAUGUGGAUACCACAUCUCUGCCUGCAGCUGCAGGACGGGAGGAAGGAG
ensembl:lncRNA